AAUAGAUUGCAGAGGCAAUACAGUUUGUAACUGUAUGUGCUGUGUUUUUUAAGUAAGUAAAAUAAACUGGAACUAGAAAUGUUUAUAUCUUGAUUUUUUUUUGUGUGUUGAAUUUUUUGGUCAAAUUAAUGGUUUUACAUUUUUCCUUGACUUUUCAAAGAAUGCUUCAAGAAUUAUACAAAGACUUGAUCUGUUGCUAUAUCAGUGACCUUUUUUACCUAUGACAUUCUGAAGAUACCAGUAUUUCAAUGUAAUAAUAUAAUUAAAUACAUCUAUAAUUUUUCCUACUAGAAUGCCUCUUGGGAUGAAGUUGUGCACUCAUACAGAGGGAAAACAAACUAAAAAGAAGACUCUGAGGCUGAUUAAAUGGCUGCAAAAGAAACACCUUCUAAAGAAGAAGCUGAGAUGCCCUGUUUGCCACCAUAAGAUGAAAAUGAUAUCUGUGGUGAAGAAAGACCAAUUUAUGUGUCCCUCCCCUGGCUUUACAGCUAAACUAAUAAUUUCUGCAAGCCUACCACACUGGCUAAUAGCACUGCAUUUCAGAUGUUCUCUCACUUGACUCGGCUUUCCCUGCAUGUGCACGUUAGGAGGCGUGGCUUUCGGCUCAUUCAGGAAGGUGCUGCAAAAGAGCAAGUCAUAGAAAAGUCUCCAGAACAAUUAGAACUGGCUCCCUCUUUGAGAAAUCAAAAUCUUCUCUUUUCAGUUGGAUGAAGUUCAUCUACAGUAUGCACGUGGACGCUUCGGAAAUGCUUGGAAAAGAAAGAAAUGGGUCUUUGGACUGAUGGGAGUGAAAGACAAAAGGCGAAGGCUCGUGUUAAAACUUGUAGAGAAACGAACAAGGCGUCACCUUGUUCCUCUGAUCAGACAGCAUGUUAAGUCGGGUAGUGCCAUUAUCAGUGAUGAGUGGAGAGCCUACAAGAAUGUCUUGACAAACAUGGGGUACAAACAUUACACAGUAAAUCACAGCAGGUGGUUUGUUGAUCCUCACUCGGGCAGUCAUACACAACAUAUUGAAAGAGCUUGGAUGACAAUUAAAGGACAUAUUCGCAGACUAAGAGGAAAUCGUACAGAGAUGUUGUUGGAGGAACAUCUUAAAGUUCUCGAAUGGUCAUCUUGGCUUGGUUCAAAACAUCCUGAUGGACCACUGGGACGCUUAUUCAAGGACAUAUGGAAAUCAUUCCCAGUUUAACCUGAAU